rnacentral:rRNA from 1 species
UACGUAGGGUGCGAGCGUUGUCCGGAAUUACUGGGCGUAAAGAGCUCGUAGGUGGUUUGUCGCGUUGUUCGUGAAAACUCACAGCUCAACUGUGGGCGUGCGGGCGAUACGGGCAGACUGGAGUACUGCAGGGGAGACUGGAAUUCCUGGUGUAGCGGUGGAAUGCGCAGAUAUCAGGAGGAACACCGGUGGCGAAGGCGGGUUGCUAGGCUGACACGUGACGCUGAGUGCGCGAAAGCCAGGGGAGCAAACGGG